GUAGUUAGCCGGUUACCAAGUCAGUCCCUGGCUAUGGCUAUAAAAGGAGAGGGGGGGCAUGAAUACACAUUCAUGUCACACACACUUGCCGGUGGAUGUCAUCUUCAUUCUCUCUCUAUGCUUAUCAUUUUCAUUUACUUUUUGUUGUUUUAGAUUUUUCGUUGUGGGUUUCGUCUAUUUGUUUCGUUGAAAAGUGAUUGCUGUUUAGAGAAGAAACAUUUCAAAAGAAGAGUCAGCUGUACGUAUAUCAUGUUUGAAGAUGCAAUAUGAAUAUAUACAUGUUUUCCAAUGUGAAACUAAACAUUCACAAGUAGAAGUCCCGAUCCUUAAAGUUAUACAUUUUCAAUCUUUUCAAGUUUCAAGAUCUCCCUCUCUCUCUGUUGUUCAGCCAAGAAAGUCUUCAACAGCUUAUGAAGAUAAUGAAGAGCAAGGCGUCUAGGGCUUGAAUGAGAGGGAGAGAAGAAGAGAAGAGGUGUGAGGUUAUGCAUGCUGACAGAAGAGAGGGAGCACAACCCUGUAAUAGCUAAAGAGAGUCUUUGCUUUUGUUGGACUGUGCUUUCUCUUCUUCUGUCACCAACCAACACAGUAUCUUCUCUCUGAUCUGAUGUGAUCCACUACCAGAUCAAACCGGCGUCUUAAGAUCUUCCUGGCUUUGGAAUUUUUUUUUUCUCCCAGCAGCUUCCAACUUGGUUCAUUAUGAAAGUGAUAUUUCGGUUUUACAUAGAAACAAGAAUAUACAAAUUCAGCUUGAUUUAGGGACUGAUGACCAUUUCUUUUAUUUUGAUUUCAGAUAACACAAGGAAGCAAUCAAGUAAAGAGAGAAAUCAAGAAGUCAGUAGCAGUACAGAUCCUGAAAAUGGAAGAUAGCUUGUUUCAAUGAUCAUUUACAGCUAAUUUGUCCUGGAAGGGCAGUCACGUCGCAUUAUCUUAUUUGAAUGUCAUUGCUUCAAGUAAUGGCAUCAUUCAUGCUAUUCGAUGGACGCUUGUGAAUACUAACAUCAUAAGAUGCACAAUCCAUAAUGUUCUGAAUCAAGAUGUAUUGAAAAUAUAAACAAUUUAUUUUAUAUGUUAACCCUUUCUCCAGUGCCCUCCUCUAAAAAAAAUGAGAUGGUAAUUCUAAACCCAAAGGAUUACACAGGAUACAUUCAGUUAUCACCACUACGUCUUCGAAGCAGCAAAGAGAUCACUCCUUCCCUCUUGGGAUUACAAAGAUUAUGAAUUACGCCUGAUUAAACUCAUCUUUAGACCCUUACUGGCCAAGGACUUCGGGCAUUCCUUACAGAUUCUUGACAUUCUUCAAUGUCAAACCAUGAGGUUCAUGGCUGAAGUGUAGAUCAUUGAAUGUAGCAUGUACUGGUUGUGAACCAUGCUUCAGCUGUAUGAGUUAUGGUUGUACUUCCUGAAAUACAAGUGACCUCGGUUGGAUUUUCA